GUCUUUGUGUAGUACCGUAAUACCAUGUAAAGGGUGGCACGCAUAUAUGUGUGGUGAAGGUUAUAAAUGGCAUGAAUUAAUAAGGGUUAAUCGACAUCCCUCCUCUUAAAGAAGUAAAGCAUAUAUAGUGUUAGUGGAGCAAAUAGAAAACACCAGUAUUUAGCAAUGUUACAACAUUUUGAGAUUU